CCUGUGUCCUUGUGUUGCCAGCAUGCCCUUCGGGGUGAUGGGGACUCACAGGAGACCGCCGGGGUCAACUCGGAGGAAGGUGGGGACGACGUCAAGUCAUCAUGCCCCUUAUGUCUUGGGCUGCACACGUGCUACAAUGGCAGGUACAAUGAGCUGCGAAACCGUGAGGUGGAGCGAAUCUCAAAAAGCCUGUCUCAGUUCGGAUUGGGGUCUGCAACUCGACCCCAUGAAGUCGGAGUUGCUAGUAAUCGCAGAUCAGCAUUGCUGCGGUGAAUACGUUCCCGGGCCUUGUACACACCGCCCGUCACGUCACGAAAGUCGGUAACACCCGAAGCCGGUGGCCCAACCCCUUGUGGGAGGGAGCUGUCGAAGGUGGGACCAGCGAUUGGGACGAAGUCGUAACAAGGUAGCCGUACCGGAAGUG
rnacentral:rRNA from 1 species